UUUGGGGUUCAUUUGUGAUAAUAGUUAUUCACAUUGGGGUUCAUCUCGGGGGUCAUUUGUGAUGGUUGUUAUUCACCUGGGGUUCAUCUUUGGGGUUCAUUUGGGGUUCAUAUUGGAGUUCAUCUUUGGGGUUCAUUUGUGGUGACUGGUUAUACAUAUCGGGGGUUUAUUCUAGAUAUUUGGUUACUUUGUUGGGGUUCGUUCUGAUAACCUUUUCUUUUGUGUUCGUUGGUUAGCGUUUGUUAUUGUUGGGAGUCGGGUGUAAGUCCAUGUAUUGGCAUUCUGUUUCCUUUUUGUUAUUGUUAGGAGUCGGGUGUAAGUCCAUGUAUUGGCAUUCUGUUUCCUUUUUUGUUAUUGUUAGGAGUCGGGUGUAAGUCCAUGUAUUGGCAUUCUGUUUCCUUUUGGGUGUUUCUUUUGACGUCUCAGCGU
rnacentral:lncRNA from 1 species